AUUGAACGCUGGCGGCAGGCUUAACACAUGCAAGUCGAGCGGGGUGAUGGUGCUUGCACUAUCACUUAGCGGCGGACGGGUGAGUAAUGCUUAGGAAUCUGCCUAUUAGUGGGGGACAACAUCUCGAAAGGGAUGCUAAUACCGCAUACGUCCUACGGGAGAAAGCAGGGGAUCACUUGUGACCUUGCGCUAAUAGAUGAGCCUAAGUCGGAUUAGCUAGUUGGUGGGGUAAAGGCCUACCAAGGCGACGAUCUGUAGCGGGUCUGAGAGGAUGAUCCGCCACAAUGGGACUGGGAGAAGGCCCAGACUCCUACGGGAGGCAGCAGUGGGGAAUAUUGGACAAUGGGGGGAACCCUGAUCCAGCCAUGCCGCGUGUGUGAAGAAGGCCUUAUGGUUGUAAAGCACUUUAAGCGAGGAGGAGGCUCUUUUGGUUAAUACCCAAGAUGAGUGGACGUUACUCGCAGAGUAAGCACCGGCUAACUCUGUGCCAGCAGCCGCCGUAA
rnacentral:rRNA from 1 species